rnacentral:rRNA from 1 species
UACGUAGGGUGCAAGCGUUACUCGGAAUUACUGGGCGUAAAGCGUGCGCAGGCGGCUUUGCAACACAGAUGUGAAAGCCCCGGGCUUAACCUGGGAACUGCGUUUGAAACUGGGGAGCUGGAGUGUAGAAGAGGGGGGUGGAAUUCCAGGUGUAGCAGUGAAAUGCGUAGAUAUCUGGAGGAACACCGAUGGCGAAGGCAGCCCCCUGGGCUAACACUGACGCUCAUGCACGAAAGCGUGGGGAGCAAACAGG